GGAGGGGUGCCAGAGUGGCCGAUUGGGCCGGUCUCGAAAACCGGUAGGCGGGCAACCGCCUCGUGGGUUCGAAUCCCACCCCCUCCG
rnacentral:tRNA from 1 species